rnacentral:lncRNA from 1 species
AGAAAAUAUAAAGGAAAAUAUACCCUGUUUUAAUUCUCUGCUUUUGAUAUUAGCAAAUAAUUUGUGGAUUUUCACCAAAAAGUUUCGUGUCAAAGAUAAGAAAAUGUUGUGCAUGAUAACAGAUUUCAUUAAAAGCAAUAACUACGAAAUUAGGCAUACAGUAUGUACUUAUUAAUGCAGUAAAGAAAUUCAACAAAUUACAAUCUUUAAAAAAUUGUAACUGACAAAAAAUAUUCAUAUCAUUAUAAAAAAAUGCCAUUAAAUGUUUUACCAUAUCAGUAACGUACCAGAACUUAUUAAGUGUACUCUUCACUCAUCUUAAUGGCAACUUACCCUUUGUGUACAUUUUAUGUGUACAUUGUAUGUGUAAUAAAUUGUUAGUUAAAGAUUGAACGUAUUGUCACUUUUUAUCUUCACAA